rnacentral:sRNA from 1 species
UACAAAAGCAAGCAGAGAAAAAUUUUACAGAUGAAGGAGACCAGCUAUUUAAGAUGGGCAUCAAGGUUCUCCAGCAGUCUAAAAGCCAAAAACAAAAAGAAGAGAUUCUAAUGCCUACCUGGAUGUUUCUCUGUCUGAGGUCCUUCUUGCCUGGACUACUCUGCUCCAGCUUCUGCCCAAGAGCAGCUUAUUUUAGCCUCAGCAUGGAUGGGCUGUACAUAAAGAGCCUACCUACUUUUUGCCAAAGCAGCUGACAUGGGAAACUUGAAAGCUAUGGAGAAAAUGGCUGACGCUUUGCUAUUUGGAAAUUUUGGCGUGCAAAAUAUAACAGCAGCUAUCCAAUUAUAUGAGUCCUUGGCUAAAGAAGGAUCAUGUAAAGCCCAAAACGUGAGUUUUGAAGGAAAAUGAAACCUUAAAUAGCUCCAUCCUGAAAUAACUAUAGACAGCAUGUGAAAGGAGUUGAGCAAUAGUAUUCCAGCUCUGCUGCAUGAACCCAGUCUAGGGAGGUUACCAUAAUGCACUGAAACAGUGGUGUCAGGGCAGGAGUACAGCAGAAGCCUCCGAACCCCCAACAGCUAAAUUUUAUAUAAAAUAUAUUCACCUAUAUGAAGAAAUAUGAAACUAUGUCUAUUAUCUUAGGGUGACAUGUUUGCAUGAUUUUUACUUUUCAAAUAUUUUAUAAGCUAAAUGUAAUUCCUUUUCUAUUU